AGGGUAUGGGAAAGAGGGAGGGUGUGGCAGAGGAGGAGGGAGGAACAGUAUGUGAGAGAGGAGGGGGUAGGUUGUGGGAGAGGAGGAGGGAGGAUGAGGGAGAGGUAGCAGGGGAAGAUUUGGGAGAGGAAGAGGGAAAGGGAGAGUGUGGAAUAGAAAGUGGGAGAGGAAAAAGGUAGGAAAGGAGGAGGGAGGGUAUGGAGUUGGGAGGAGGGAGGGUGUGAGGAGCUGGGAGGAGGGAGGGCGAGUGAGAGGAGGUGGGAGGAGGAGGAGAAGGAGGAGGAGGAGGAGGAGGAAGAGGAAGAGGAAGAGCCCAAAGAGUGACUGGGGGUGGGGUGGGGUGGGAGCAGAUGGGAGAGGAGGGAGGACUAGGUGGAGGGAGAAGAGUGGGGCAUGGGAGGGCUCUGAGGAGGCUGUUAGUGGGGAACAGCUGGGAAGUGUUCUCAGAGGCUGGGGCUUGCAGCUUAUUGCCCCUUGGCUGAGAGAGCCUCUCUCAAGGCUCUGCUUUCCUGCUCUGCUGAGGCUCUGGCCUGGACAGGUGUAACUGCUCUCCAGGGAUGCAGCUGUGAAAGAGGCGAGGACUCAGCUCACUCCAGAGCCGACGGAACUCAGAGAAGCAGAGUCGCCGGACCAAGCACUGCCCAAGAAGAGGGAUGGGGACCAGGCGGUGCCGGGCUACGGUGGUCCUCCGGGUGCCAUAAAUGCUAAAAUCACCCAUCUCCUGUAAUCCUGCAUCUGUGCUCUCAAGAGUGAGAUGGUUAAGUUCACCGCUUUGUGGAGCUGGCUGCGGAUGGCUUCUGUGUGGUCCUCUGUCCCGGGAGAAGAUAGAGCGCAGGCUGAUGGGAAGGCUCAGCCGGUGAAGACACUCGCUUCCACACCUGUGGCCUGAGUGCAAUCCUGGUGAGCUUCAUGGUGGAAGCAGAGAACUGAGGCCAUAAGGAGUCCUCUGACUGCUACAUCUGUGCCUCGCACACUCUCCCAGUAACUAAAACUGUCAUUAAAACC